rnacentral:rRNA from 1 species
UACGUAGGAGGCGAGCGUUGUCCGGAAUUACUGGGCGUAAAGAGCUCGUAGGCGGUUUGUCGCGUCUGCCGUGAAAGUCCGGGGCUCAACUCCGGAUCUGCGGUGGGUACGGGCAGACUAGAGUGAUGUAGGGGAGACUGGAAUUCCUGGUGUAGCGGUGAAAUGCGCAGAUAUCAGGAGGAACACCGAUGGCGAAGGCAGGUCUCUGGGCAUUAACUGACGCUGAGGAGCGAAAGCAUGGGGAGCGAACAGG